rnacentral:rRNA from 1 species
UGGGGAAUCUUGGACAAUGGGGGCAACCCUGAUCCAGCCAUGCCGCGUGAGUGAUGAAGGCCUUAGGGUCGUAAAGCUCUUUCGCCUGUGAAGAUAAUGACGGUAGCAGGUAAAGAAACCCCGGCUAACUCCGUGCCAGCAGCCGCGGUAAUACGGAGGGGGUUAGCGUUGUUCGGAAUUACUGGGCGUAAAGCGCACGUAGGCGGACCAGAAAGUUGGGGGUGAAAUCCCGGGGGCUCAACCCCGGAACUGCCUCCAAAACUAUUGGUCUAGAGUUCGAGAGAGGUGAGUGGAAUUCCAAGUGUAGAGGUGAAAUUCGUAGAUAUUUGGAGGAACACCAGUGGCGAAGGCGGCUCACUGGCUCGAUACUGACGCUGAGGUGCGAAAAGUGUGGGGAGCAAAACAGGAUUAGAUACCCCUGGGUAGUCCACACCGUAAAACGAUGAAUGCCAGUCGUCGGGUAGCAUGCUAUUCGGUGACACACCUAACGGAUUAAGCAUUCCGCCUGGGGAGUAC